AUUGAACGCUGGCGGAAGGCCUAACACAUGCAAGUCGAGCGGAGCGGCGGACGGGGGAGUAAUGCCUAGGACUCUGCCUGGUAGUGGGGGAUAACGUCCGGAAACGGGCGCUAAUACCGCAUAAUAUAAGAUGAGCCUAGGUCGGAUUAGCUAGUUGGGUGGGUAAAGGCCUACCAAGGAGACGAUGCGUAACUGGUCUGAGGUGAUGAUCAGUCACACGGGAACUGAGACACGGCCCAGACGCCUACGGGAGGCAGCAGUGGGGAAUAUUGGACAAUGGGCGAAAGCCUGAUCCAGCCAUGCCGCGUGUGUGAAGAAGGUCUUCGGAUUGUAAAGCACUUUAAGUUGGGAGGCGUUACCAACAGAAUAAGCAACGGCUAACUUCGUGCCAGCAGCCGCGGUAAUUC
rnacentral:rRNA from 1 species